ACCGCUGUGCGCGUCCCUAUCUACCGCCGCCCCUGGUACUCCGUUCAGCUCCCUCUCCCUGAUAUUCUUCAUCGCGUGGAGCUCUCUCCAACUCCGGCCAGAUCUCCCAGGUGCUCGGCCUCUAUUUCUUCUGCGGGAGCACGCCCAGCCGAGCGGCUCUUCCCCACGGCGUUGUUCUCCCUGCGCUCGCUCGGCCUUGAAGCUCCCAAGGCACGCACCCAGCCACCCCUCCGUUCUCCUCCUCGCCACGAUGCUCCAUGGCGCUCCUCGCUGCUCGCACAGCCAUCUUCCCCUUCCCCAUGGCCGUGGCCUCCCUGCAAGGAUGCGAGCCGGUGCCCAACCCGGCCGCUCGACCCUGCCAGUCCCUGUGUGCCGCGCGCAGCUUCCUAGUGCUCGGACUGCUUCUCAGCUCGCCCGGCCGGAGCGCCCUGCUCGCCCUCCUGCGUCGAACUCCCUCGCUGUACGUGCCGUCGAAGCUUCCCGGGCCGUGCGCUUCUCUGUCCCGACCACCAGCAUCCAAUUCCAGUAUUCUCGUCAUUGAAGAACAGUCCCCGCGCUCUGCGUCCUCGCCGCGUUUGUUUGCUUCAUGUGCGCAACAUGCCAUCGUCUUCGUGUUUUUAGUAAGUCAGCGAGCGCUCGCGCUCGCCAUCCUCUGCUCGACCUCGUUGACGAGCUUCGCCUUGCCGGUCAUUCUAGCUGCGACCCGUCGUGAAGCUCUCAUGUGGUGGUGUGCGUGAAGCUCGUAUAGUACCUGUCAAGCGCUUGAUAAAUUGCCUGGAUGAGAAAAUCAUUACCGUUC